rnacentral:lncRNA from 1 species
GUGCUUUGAAAUCGCUGCUUUACAGUACAUGUCAAUGUAAUUAUUUCACAAUGCUAAUUCUGACCGUGAAGCAUCAUUAAUAAUAUCCAGCAUUAUGUAGCAUUAUUUAUGGUUAUAAUAUCAAUUUCAACUCUGAAUGACAAUCGAUCAAACAUUUUAACAUUUUGAAAUAAAUUUAUUCUCAUUAAUAAUAAUUGACUGAUUCAUUUGUAAAACUUAAGACAGAUUUAAAACUAUGACAAUUGACAAUUGUGGCACAGAGGUUGAGAUGAGAGUGAUGGGGAGAUGAUUUGAAAUCUGAUCUUAAAAAAAUAAACCCCCUUCAGACUAUGACAGAAUAUAAAUAAAACUUAGCCUGAAAAAAAUAUACUCAGGCUUCCUUUUUCUGCUGAUUUGUACCAAUUUAAACAAUGCACUGCAAAGCCAUGGGUAUGGGUUAAAAUAUCCAUGUUUUCUAUGAGGCAGCUGAGUGGCUCCAUUUGAAAAUAUGCAUCAACUGUGCAUCACCAUCACUGUCCUCCUAGGAUUGUAGGAUUUGUCUCAGAUUUUUUCAUCAAUGUGACAAUACUUUUUCAGUUUCAUAAUGAAAGUUUCAAGAUACGAUAAUUCUUGUUAUUAUGAUUAGGCAUGCUAAUUGCACUGAGAGUAAAGAGUAAAAUGCUGAAGUUGAAUAUUUAAAUGAAUACAGUCAAUGCAGAAUACAUUAUUGACCUUGAAAUACAGCAUCAUUUAACACUUGCGAGUGCCUUAGAAGAACAGCAGCCGUAGUACGUAGCGGUGAUUGAAAUGCUGAAGUUAACGCUCCCUUCUUCUCUUUCUCCAGAGGGAUAACGCUGUGUGGAGCAGGAGGAGGACUGGGAGAGAGAGAAACACACUUUCCCCCAAAGGCCUUGUCAGAGUGACAGGUUAUGUGGCUUUGUGAGGGUGAUGUCACACACCAUAAGCCAUCCUGAUUUGCUGUCACCCCGAGCGGUGGCCCUGGGUGCGUCUCAGUCACGCUGUCUCCCAGAGACAGACAGCCCAGACCAGCCAGGCUCCAGAGCCCCACGCCACUCGCAUUACGUGAAUGGCGGUGGUGGCGUUUGGAGCAGCAGCUCGACUGAGUUUGGUCUCUCACAGCGAAGAGUUGCAGGCCGAUGCAUAAACAAAUCCCCCUUUGUCUGUACAAGCACGGAGUGACCUGCGUUGGGCAGAGGGGACGAGUAAACAGUGGUAGGUCUGCACAAAUACACACUGUAAACACCCUGCACUCAUUAACUAUAAUGAGAUGUUAUGAGCGGCCCUUGAGCUCAUUGUUUGGCUUCGGUAGGCUAACCUACCGACUGUUGUUGUUGUUUAUGCGAACCAAAUGAUGGCUUUAGCUUGAAACCCCGGUGCAUUCUUCUUCUCGGUUGAAGCUCAUCUUCCUGGCGCCUCGGGGUGUCGUUUUGAAAUGCACUGUCUCCCUUCCUCCUUCUACUUUUCAGCUUGUUUUUCUUCCUCCUCCCCUCGCCUGUCUAGCCCCUCGCUUUUCAAGUGAUAUCCAGUCUUUCCACAGGUCUGCAGUUUAAUCUCUGUUUCUAUGGCCUUUCUGAGGUGGGACACUCACCUUAAUCCUCUGGGGUCGUGGCGCCUGCGAGCCGGGGCUCUUUGUACAGCUUAGGGUUUAAUGAGGCUGACACUGCUCACAUGCUGGGGUCAAGCUGACCUUUGCUGGCUCUCAAACGCCGGCUUUCCAGUCAGACCAGGCCGGGCUGGCCCAGCUCUUCCCCUGCUGCAACAGUAGCCCGUGUGCCUCCCUGGCCCUGAAAGUCAUUUAAGGAGCAUUAUGGCCGCCGCGCAUUCCAGCCAUAAUUACCAGCGCGAUACAGGAUACCUUUAAACCCUUCAAACUAUAUGAGGGCUUGGACAUGCAUGGCUAACGUAGCCCCUUUGACAACAAUGAGUGGCUUCACCUUGGCUGCUAAUUGUGCUGCUCCGGUCUCUGCCUCUGAUUUUCUUGUUCUGUCUUUCACAGCCUUUUUCUUUUUUAGACUCCACUGAUUGGGAGCAUCUCCAUUUGAUGACAGUCUGCUGAGACUUUUUGGCCACGUGUGGCCCAAAACACUAAUUAGAUUCCUCUGUAUGAGACUUCAUGUCUGACAAACAUCUGAACAGCAAUGUGAGGCAGCAGCUUUUUGAACUGUACUCAGCUGAAAUAUGUCUGUAUAUAUUCUUUUUCACAUGUAAUGUACAUGUACAUGUAAUGUACAUUUUGUGCACACUUAUAAACCAAUGUAGUGAAAUCUGGGAAGCAAGCAUUUUAAUAAAGUAAGAAAAAAAACCA